rnacentral:lncRNA from 10 species
GCUGAACAGUAGAGGGCGCUGGAGACACGCUGCGGGAGGCUGUCGCUCGGGUCCGGCUGCGGGCCACAGGCCGCGGAUCGCGCUCUGCCAGCGCCCCACGCCCGCAAGCGCGGCCCCUCCGCCACCUCGCGGCCCGGCCUGACCUGUUAAUCACGUCCCCACGGCUCUCCUAGCGGGGACACCGCCGUCUGCAGGCUCCGUCCCCACAGUGCCCAGACCCCGGGAAGUUUGUCAGUCAGCACCCUGAUGCCAGCCGAUUCUCAAAAAGCCAGGAGGAUCCAAGCAGAUGAUUUGCCAGACGGUACUGCAGCAAUGGAGAUGAACAGAUAAUUCACACAGAAAGAAGGACGCUCCAUCACCUUCUAGCUGUGGGACCCUGAGAAACAGCACAUCCUCCCGGAUCCUCCCAUCUCUCUUGUCCACACGUGGGGAAGGCUCCUGGUGGGGGGGGGUUGGGGGGGAGGGGGGAAGGGGGGGUUGGGGGGAGGGGGAAGGGGGGGGCCUUGCAGAUUUACCAAGCUGAUGUACAAAGACCUACUACAGCGGUAAGGGCUAGCUCCUUUCUCCCACUCUGGCAGUCACUCCACUUUGAGAAACAUACAUCUUGAAAUAAAGCUACAAGUGGAGAGGGGCAGGUGAUUUGGGCAAAUGAUUCCAUACUAAAUGUUAGGACAAAACAUCCUAGGCAAAUAUCACAAUCCGGCGUCAUAGUGGCAUACUAAAUUCAACCAAGAAAUAUACCCAUGAUGUUGAAAGAGCCAGGCUUAUGGAAUGUAAACAGCAAACUAUUUUAUUCUUGUUUUCUAUUUACCAAUUCAAACUUACUCUGCAGGUCACUCCUCCCUGCCCCUGGGAUAAAAUCUAGGGCAUGUUCUGUGACUUUCUGGAUCACAAAAUUCACAUGAUUUUUGGAUCAUUCUCAGUUAACCAAAAAUGUGUCCUGUAACUUCUAGCUAUAAAAAUAGGCUCUGUUCAGCAUUUAAAAUGUCCAAUCCCAUGUAGGAGUCUAAACUUUCGAUUUCAUUUUAAGUUUAAGCUUCCUCUUGAUUCCUCCCCCAAGUCUGGCCCAGGCUUGCAUUUGGCUCCAGGCAUUGGGCGGGUAGCAGUGUUUCCUCUCCAUUUUUCACUUUCACUCUUCCCUCCCCAACUAGCUUGCAGGGAUUUCUGAUCACCUAGUAGAGUCUAGAGGCGUAAGGGAAGGAGGUCACCAAGGGGCAGGCCAGGCUUUAUGUGAAUAGUGCUGUUGUGAGCCAAGUACUUGAGUACUUCGAGGUCCCCUUCUACUGCAGACAUCUUCCCUAUGGUUCCUGUGACCCAGGUUUGUCUCAGAGUGGGGUUAGCACACGGUACCAUCUCCAUCCCCUUUAAAAGUAUUUAUUACAUUUUUCUGGAAAUGGAAGUCUGGGAAUUAUAUUUCCCUGAUAGUCUUAUGAGCAGGAUUCCAGGUUGAUUCUGCCAAAUGUGAGGCACUCAGGUGAGACUAGAAAGCAGAAAGAUGGUUUAAAAAAUCAUCGUUUUCUUCCUUUGACUCUGCACUUAUGACAGCAGGAUGCUCGAGACUCUUGCAGUAAUUUGGGCAAAGAUUUCCACAGUGCAAAAUAGAAAAAACGUAACUGGCAAAUAGCUGUACAAAUUACAGUCCAUUUUCAUCAUGGAAUGUCAGUUUGGCAACAAUGGCAUCGAGGCCCAAAAGCAGCUCUGCAGUAGGGGGGUUCCUCCUUGGUGACUGGAUGGGCACAGCGAAGCACAAAUUCCUGAAGAUCCCAGCUCCAGGAAACAUCAGCAUGGUUCAUUGCGUUGUCCACCUGAAUUCUUCACCCCUCCCUGUGGCUGUGUCCAUUGCCCUGUAGUGUUGCAGUUCCCCUCAGGAAAAAGAUAUCAUUUACUUCUCUGACCCUUGAUUUGGAGCUUGGCUAUGUGACGUGCUUUGGCCAAUGGGAUAUUGGAUGACAUAACAUAAGGAGAGACACAGAUAUGCAUCUGCACAAUGCAGCUUGCCUUUUUAUGCUUCUGCCUUCACCAUGAAAAGAGCUUUCCCUGGGGGUAGCAGCUGUCCCUGCAGCCUGUGUUCAGAAUGCACAAAUGUGAGGAGCCAAGCCCAGCCAGCUUGAAAGUGAGUUGCCAGGCCCAGCGCAGUGGCUCACACCUGUAAUCCCAGCACUUUGGGAGGCCGAGACAGGCAGAUCACCUGAGGUCCGGAGUUCGAGACGAGCCUGACCAACAUGGAGAAACCCCCGUUUCUACUAAAAAAUACAAAAUUAGGCCUGGCGCAGUGGCUCACGCCUGUAAUCUCAGCACUUUGGGAGGCCGAGGCAGGCGGAUUACCUGAGGUCGGGAGUUCGAGAUCAGCCUGGCCAACAUGGAGAAACCCCGUUUCUACUAAAAAUACAAAAGUAGCCGGGCGUGGUGGCACAUGCCUGUAAUCCCAGCUACUUGGGAGGCUGAGGCAGGAGAAUCGCUUGAACCUGGGAGGCAGAGGUUGCGGUGAGCCGAGAUCACGCCAUUGCACUCCAGCCUGGGCAACAAGAGCAAAACUCCGUUGAAAGAAAGAAAGGAAAGAAAGGAAGGAAGGCAGACAAAAUUAGCCGGGCGUGGUAGCGCAUGCCUGUAAUCCCAGCUACUCAGGAGACUGAGGCAGGAGAAUCACUUGAACCUGGGAGGCGGAGGUUGCAGUGAGCUGAGAUGGCGCCACUGCACUCCAGCCUGGGCAACAAGAGUGAAACCCUAAAAAAAAAAAAAAAAGUGAGUUGCCUACCCUAGCUCAGACCACCUCCAGCCAACCCACAGAUGUGUUAGAAAUGAGUGCUUAUUUAAGUAUGGCAUUGACAUGUUGUGAUUAGUUGUUAUGCACCAUUAUAGCAAAAAAAUUGCACACUGAUAAAAGUAACUGUUCCCUCGUUGGCUUCACCAGCUUUCCCAAGAAUUGUUUAAUCCCAUUCCCUGUAUAAAAUCACUCUCUGCUGAGAAUCCUUUUUCUGAGAAAAGAAUUCUGAGAAUUUUUUUUCUGCUUGAGGCAGACCAACACUCAUUCCAAGAACAACUGGAAAGGCUGAAUAAAACACAGAAAACUUUUUUAAAAAGUUUUUGGAAAGCUUCCCAGUUAACAAACAUUUGAAGGGUCAUAAUCUCAAAAGAAGAAAAACACAAGGAGGCAAGCUGGCCCUCUGUGAACUACUUUUCCCUUCAGGAAACGUGCUGAUUUUAGCUAAGAGGCCGAGCAUUUGGGCAGACGGCCAUAGCUAAGAGGCAGCAAAGGCAGCAGAGUCGUCUUCAGCUGGAGAGACAAGAAAUGGAGACUGAGGUUGUCAAGGCAGCUGGAACUGAAGGGGCCGAGAUAUCAUGUAGAAGGGAGACACAGAAAAGGAACACUUUCCCCUUGAGGCAUCUGCUGAGUUAAGCUAUGCAGAAAGGCUAUGAAAAGCAGCAGGUUUUGGCAGUGUCAUAUUAAUGAGAUAAAAGUUGGAGUUCAGGACCCACCAAGGAAAAGAAGCCUAAUAAUCACAUCAGACACUCAGUUGGAAUCCUUGGAGGACCACACUCUAGAUAGACGGGCAAACCAGAGAUGGAGAUGAAGCCUUCCAAAAACUGCAACAUAGACUCUAGUCAGUUCGGUACCAUUGGAUUAAGGUAAAAUCUUCCCACUCUGUCUAUCAGAUGACAUGGUAAACCCUCCCUUGAGACAGACAUUGUUUUCAGAUCAUGUUUCCUGGAGCCACUAAAAUUUAUUAUAAUGGUUAGCAUUCAACAAUAAGUGAUCAAACACACCACAAAACAGGAAGGAGGGGAAAACAGACACAACAAAACGGAGCCACUAAUGACCCAGAUAUUGGUGUUAUCAGACACAGACUUGAUGGGUGGAAUAGAGACUUUCAUCAAAGAACUGGAAUCUAUAAGAAAGAAUGAAAUGGAAAUUUAAAACUUAAAAAUACAAUAAUUGAAAUUAACUACUUAGCAUAUGGGUUAACUACAAUUAGAUUUAGCAGAAGGAACAUUCUUUGAACUGUAAUAUAGGACAGAAUAAAAACUCUAAGCUGAAGAACAGAGACAAAGAGUAUGGAAAAUACAGCAAAGAACAUAAGAUACUUGUGGGAGGUGGUGAACAGGCCUAACACAUAUGUAACUGGAGUCUUAGAAGGGAGGAAGAUGGGGCAGAAGGAACAGUUAAAUAAAUAUAGCCUGAGAACUUUCCAAAACUGAUAAAGCUUUAUGAUCCCCAAGCAGGAUAAAUAAAAACAAAACUGCAUCCAG